rnacentral:rRNA from 1 species
UACAGAGGUCUCAAGCGUUGUUCGGAUUCAUUGGGCGUAAAGGGUGCGUAGGCGGCGCGGUAAGUCGGGUGUGAAAUCUCGGAGCUUAGCUCCGAAACUGCAUUCGAUACUGCCGUGCUUGAGGACUGGAGAGGAGACUGGAAUUUACGGUGUAGCGGUGAAAUGCGCAGAUAUCAGGAAGAACACCCGUGGCGAAGGCGGUUCUCUGGGACGGUACUGACGCUGAGACGCGAAAGCGUGGGGAGCGAACAGG